CCAGCAGCUGCGGUAAUUCCGGCUCCAAUAGCGUAUAUUAAAGUUGUUGCAGUUAAAACGCUCGUAGUCUGAAGGGAUGGGAUGGUGCUAGUGUGUCCGCGAGGAUGUGUUUGUGCUGUUCUGUUUGUGAGCUUUUUUGAGCUCGGAUUACUUUGAGGAAAUUAGAGUGUUCAAAGCAGGCGAGUGCUUGGAUACUGCAGCAUGGAAUAAUGGAAUAGGACUCGCGUCUUAUUUUGUUGGUUUGGAGAUGUGAGUAAUGAUGAAUAGGGACAGUUGGGGGCAUUGGUAUUCAGUAGUCAGAGGUGAAAUUCUUGGAUUUACUGAAGACUAACUAGUGCGAAAGCAUUUGCCAAGGAUGUUUUCAUUGAUCAAGAACGAAAGU
rnacentral:rRNA from 1 species